CACACACCAGGCUCUUGCCUCCUGUCUGUGUCCCCAUCUCAGUCCCUCUCCUUUUCACCAUGCUCAACAGUGGCUGGGAAACUUCAAGUCCUGCCCUUAUGCCUUUUGCUGGUAUAGAACUGCACUGUGGAUGGGACUUCAGAUUCCUCCUCCUCACCAUGCCCUCAAUUUGCUCUUCCCCAGCCAGCACUGAGCCAACCCGUUGGAACCAGGACUCCAUCACCCUAUAUUACAAAUUUAUGUGUUCUCCCAUUAAAAUAGCCUUUUCCCACCAAUAAACUUCCUCCCUUGUCUCCUGAGUUGUCAUGUGUACAGAAGCACUGAACAGCUGCUUCCAAAAUAUCAGAAGCUAAACUAAGAGAAGCCCAAAACUCUUUGAAAAGAACAUGACACCUGUGUUUCCCAGAGCCCUGAAUGCUCUGAGGAUGCUCUGAGGAGCUGCUGUGCUUGCAGAACCCUCCCACCAUGAAGGAGCACACAAAAGCAGACACACUCUGCAGCGAGGCAGACACGUUACCUUGCACAGGAAAUGUUAUGAACAGAGAGGGAAGCCCAGGGAAAAGUACAAGAAGCCACUGAGACUGUCCAAUCUCUGCUGUGGAGACAAGAAAAGGCAAAAGGUGUGUGGGCCUCAUUCCAGCCCUCCACACUGCAGAGACGUGUCUGUGUCACAUGUGCACUGCACUCUCACUGCACUCUCAUUGUGCUACCAAGAGUGUUCUGCUGUGUGCUGGGGGUCUUGCCAAGGAAAAGGACUCUUGAGCUGGGAAAAAUGAUCUUCACCAUGGCUGUGCCAGCGUGUGUCCUGCUAAUCCAGUCAGGUGGGUUUAUUCAUGUCCUUUCUGUUGUCUCUCAUGGUUUUUAGUAAAUUAUUUGGAGGUGUCUGCAAACAAGAGGAUGAGGCUGGGAGAAAUGUAGAAGGGGAUGGAUGUAGAUAUCUGAACUUUCCAUUUCUUUGGAAAGCCAGCAAAGAUGGGGGCAGACUCAAACAUAGAGCAAGUGAGAGAAGGAAGCAAACUUCUCUGCAGACACAUCUCUGCCUGUGUUGCAGGUCUUAUUGGAGGUGAUCUCCCGGAGCAAUUCUUCUCUGAGGUGCUAGUCAAAGUUGGACAGCAAGUGGUUCUUCCUUGCCAGCCCACCACUAAGGGGAGUCUCACCAAUUUGAACUUCCUCUGGUACAGCCAGUCCCCGGGAAGAACUUUGACAUUUCUUCUGCAAGCACAUACAGAGAAUGGCAAGUACCGCAAUGGCCGAUUCUCUAUGAUGGUCUACAAAAAUAAAUCAGCCCCGUUAGAAAUAGCCAGAGUCUCUCUUCAGGACACUGCGAUCUACUACUGCGCUCUGAGGCACCACCUUGAGCUAAGCUAAAUUUCCGUUCGUACAAAAUCUCUGUCACCAACAGCACAGGAGGGGUGAGGCCCUACAUCCUCCAGCCUGGGCUGUGCUUUCGUGCCUGAAAUGAUCCUCUCCUUCUUAUAUUCUUAUAUUGGCCUUUCCAUCUUCUCCCAUCUCAGCUCCUCUUAUUUUUCUCAAAGUUCCCAUCUAUGCAGAGGUAUCCAGAGCAGUGACUUAGACAGGCAGGACCAUGGGAAUCUGCAGAUGAGCUGAAACAUGACUUUUCUUACUUCCUCAUAUAGAAACAAACAUCCCUCAAGAAAACAAUCAACAUAACAUGCAAUUGCAGUGUCAAUCCUUACCCACACUUCCAGGGAGCUGACACUGCAGAAUCCAGUGCUGCUGGGGUGUUCUGUCCAAAGCUUGGAUCAAGUUGUGGGCAGAGCCAGGGGAUCCAUGUCUCUGCUCUGCUCCUGGCCAGCCCUUGACACAAGAGCUCAAUGGACACCAGACCACUUGCUCCUCUUUGCAGAGCAGCUGAAGAAGACACAAGCAGCUUUUACUGUAAUGCCUUCAGCAUUGGCAGGGUACCCUGCUGCACACAGUUACAUGAUAAGAACCUCCAACACCCCAGCCAGCAUGAACUUUGCUAUUGAAAAUUGUAUUGAAAAAUACUAAUGAAGAGAAAAGCAUAGUAAAACUAUGAAAUACCUAAGCAACCAGUAGCACUGAAGUCCAUGUGACAAGAGUUUCUGUAUAUUUAAUACAGUGCCUUGAGAUCAUCAGACAAUGAAAACUGAUUGAAGACAAAGACGAAGAUUAUGAUCAUGAUGACACUUUCCCCUUGUCUGGUAGAGUUGGAAACUCAAAGGCCAGUUGGUUUAGGCAUCGCAGAGCCCAAGCAGAACUCAGCUUGGCCUAUUCUAUGAGGAGAACUCCUGGAGAUGCAUUAGUGCUGUUGCUCAUAAGAAGUUUUCCCACCAGAAAACCUUAACUGCAGUACACUGUGUAUUACUGUACUGCUGGGACCGAAGUACACCUUCUUGUGUCCUGGCUAGAGCAACAGGAAAAGACACCAAGGAUGCCUGUGAAAUUUGACUGGUUUCUCUUUAUCAACCCUCAGCUUUUAGUUCACAAGUCAGAUGAAUGCCAAAGGAGUAACAGGAGUCUGCAGUAUAGUGUGUGAAGCAUUGUGCAUGAUGUGAAGGUGAGCCAAGAGCAACAAGGCUACAGGCAGGAAAAUAUGGAGAAAUCUGGGAGUUACAAAUUCACAGCGGUUCUCAUUAUGCAGGAUCUUGUUUCUGGGAUUAUUUUCCACCCUGAGAAGGGUGGGAAGGAUGACAAUGAGGCUUUGUCCCUGAUAAUUCAACCAGCUCAAUCUGCUCUGUGCAGCCUCAGCAUCUCCCUCCCACAAUAUCCCACUGUUCCUCUGAUGUUUUCUCUAAGUGGAAGUCACAGUGAACAUAGACGUCCACAGGACAGUCGUACAGCCCAGCAGGAAAAACCGGGCUCUGGGCACAGCCGAGGCUGCAGGAGGGCAGCGAGCGCCCGGGGAUUCCGUCGCCCUCUCCUGCCGGUUCUUCGAAGCAGCGUCUUCGAGGGAUUCACAAUUCGGUGUCACUGUCAGGCACCCGGAGGCAGCCUGGAAUGGGUGUCUUUCAUCAGCUUCUCGGACAACACGAAGAAGUGCGGAGGAGCAGCAGAGGGUGGGCCGCGGUCUCAAGGGACAGUUACCAGUCUCAGUCAUCUCUAGUUUUGUGGGCUCUGCACACCAGUGGCUCUGCCAGCUUCUUCUGCACUGUUCACACAGGCACAGGAAAUCCAGCUGAGCUUUAAGAUUAACCUGCUGGGGCCUGGCAUGGGGUGUGUUUGAUGUAAGGAAGGUUAGAGUCACCUGUGGCCAGGAAUUGAUGGGUCUCACGUGUGUUCCCAAGGAGUCAGAUCAAAGCAGGUGUUCCUGGCUUUUACUGCAUACUGCCAGGAUUCUAGGUUUAUUUUUUUUUUCAAUUUAAAACAGAGUAGAACUGUGAGUGAUAACAACAUCAAAAAGCAUUAAAACACCUUGGCCCUGCUUCAUCCCA